AACGAACGCUGGCGGCAGGCCUAACACAUGCAAGUCGAGCGAGGACUUCGGUCCUAGCGGCGGACGGGUGAGUAACGCGUGGGAACGUGCCCUUUGCUUCGGAAUAGCCCUGGGAAACUGGGAGUAAUACCGGAUGAGCCCUUUGGGGGAAAGAUUUAUCGGCGAAGGAUCGGCCCGCGUUGGAUUAGGUAGUUGGUGGGGUAAUGGCCUACCAAGCCGACGAUCCAUAGCUGGUUUGAGAGGAUGAUCAGCCACGCUGGGACUGAGACACGGCCCAGACUCGUACGCAAGGGAGCAGUGGAGAAUCUUAGACGAUGGAGGCAACUCUGAUCUAGCCGUGCCGCGUGAGAGAUGAAGGGCUUAGGGUUGUAAAGCUCUUUCAGCUGGGAAGAUAAUGACGGUACCAGCAGAAGAAGCCCCGGCUAACUCCGUG
rnacentral:rRNA from 1 species